AGAAUCAACGCUGGCGGCGUGCCUAACACAUGCAAGUCGAACGCGAAAGUGGAGCAAUCCAUGAGUAGAGUGGCAAACGGGUGAGUAACGCGUGGGCGACCUGCCUUCGAGUGGGGGAUAACAUUCCGAAAGGGAUGCUAAUACCGCAUAACAUCCUUCGUUUAGAUACGAGGUGAUCAAAGCCGGGAGCAAUUCUGGCGCUUAAAGAGGGGCCCGCGUCCGAUUAGCUAGUUGGUGGGGUAACGGCCUACCAAGGCUUCGAUCGGUAUCCGGCCUGAGAGGGCGGACGGACACACUGGAACUGAGACACGGUCCAGACUCCUACGGGAGGCAGCAGUGGGGAAUUGUCGCAAUGGGCGCAAGCCUGACGACGCAACGCGCGUGGAGGAUGAAGACCUUCGGUCGUAAACUCCUUUCGACCGAGAAGAAUGGCUCACGACCUCAUACGUCGUGAGCAUGACGGUAUCGGAGGAAGAACGCCCGGACUAACCUCUGUGCCAGCA
rnacentral:rRNA from 1 species